GGAAGGCAAGGGUUUUCAAAGUAAAUGCCCACAAUGUAAACUACUAAAACACAUUGAUAAAGGAGGUAUUUCACGUCAAGAAAUGUUUACAUGAUGCUUGGGUUUUACUUAGUCUUAGCAAUCCACAGCAAAUUUGAAAUAACAAUACAGCUAAAUAACCUCCAGAUAAAUGAAAAACUUCCUCAUGGAAAGUUAAUCUAUUCAAAGAAAAUUUAUCUUCCAAAAUAACCAAGUUCCAGGGUUUACUGAACCUGCCAGGCAGGAGCUUUUUUUUUCCCUUUUCUUUCUAGCAGUAAACAUAUGUUGUAUUUUCCUUUUAUCUAGUAGUUGAGAUUUUCAUGGGAAGACCCAAACUUUAGAAUAAUAGUUAUCUUUAUUUAAAUUUCCUGUGCCUGAUGCUUUAAAUAUGUUAUCUCAGUCACAGAAUUCACAGUAAUUCUAUUUUUAAAUGAAACCAUCAAUUAAAAAUGUAUUAAGACUAUAUAACCACACCAGUGUGCUCAACUUAAGAAAGAACUAUAUAGGUAUGACCACCCCCAGUGUACUUCUCCCUCCUGCCCCUUGAAAGGUAAAUCAGUUCUGAAUUUGGUAUCUUAUUAUUCCUGUGCAUUUUUUAUGCUUUUAUCAUGAUUCAUAAAUAUAUUUUUCUAUAUAUUUGCAUAUUACUAUUAUAUAUUUUCCAUAAGUGGAAUUUAGUAUUUUUAUAUGUUUCAAAAUUUUAUUUAAAGAUGGUGAUAUUGUGCUUGUCUUUCUUUAACUUGCUUUUUUUCUCUCAAUAUCAGUUUUUAAGUAUAUUCAUGUUGAUGCAGACAGCUCUAGUUUAUUCAUCAGUUUUCCAAGGAGGAAUAGCUGAACCGGCAAUAUUGUUUCCAGGAUCUACACAAUGUUAUUUCUAAAGAGACUUCUCUUGCAUUGAAAUCUCAUCUUGAAUCACCUCAGUAAAUCCAGAAGGUUGGAUCUCCUGGAAGCUUCCGUUUAGAUUAAAUGUUUAAAAUUUUCUCAAGAUUUAGGGCUUUGUAAAGAUGAGAUCUUCAUUCCAUGUAUCCAAAAAAAAAAAAUCUCAGUAAAAAGCAGGAAUAAAACCUGCCUUCCUUACCAA